AGCCGCUGCCGCCGCCUGCGGGAGGGAAGAGAGGAGAAGGAGACGUGAUGAGCAUCCAGGCGCCGACUCAGCGGCCCCGCGGCGGCAUCGGGGAGCGGCGGCGGCGGCGAGAGGGAGUCGGGCACGGCUGCCCCUCGGCCUCCCGCACACGCCCGGCUCGCUGCGCGCCGCUCUUACACACACCCAGGGGGAGGAACCGGGACUCGCCCUUCCUUCCCCCAGCACCCCCCCUCCCCACCUCGGCGGCCCAUUAACCCCGCGGCCGCCGGGCUCCCACCGUCAGAGCGGCCCGGAGGCGCCGGCGCUGCCCCGCGCGCAGGGAGCGGCCGUCGGACGCGCGGUGGGAGUGGGGCUCUCCGCGGGGCAGCGCUGCCCGCCGCACCUCUCGGCCGCCUCUUCCCCGCCGCCCCCCCUCCCCCUCCCGCGGGGGAAUGCUACAACCGAUGCAAAGAGCACAAUGACACCCUUCGAAUUCUCAGCUACAAAACACCAUUUGUUAACAUAGGCGCCACCAUUAGCUGUGCUUUCUUGCCAGAACAAGAGCCUGCCUGCCACCCUCGUACAAAUCUGCUUGGCCGUCCAGAGCACGGCUUGUAUUCACAUCGCCACCUCACUGGGCUCACAUCCACUGUUAGGCCUCCAUACCCAUUCAGCAAGCGUCAAGGAAUGCCCAUGGCUGCCAUUUUUUUCCUGCGUGGAGGAAUUCAGUGACACCCCUUUGCUUCACAGGCGCUCCCACAGCAGACGCCGUUCUGUCGGGCUGCCCCUCUGCUGCCACCUGUCGCACAGCAACGAAAUGUAAUGGGAUAAUGGCAGAAAAGUUCAGUCUCUACUGCCGUCCCACCAACGUUCGCCUCUGAGAUCCGAGGCCGACAUCAUAAAAUAGGAGGCACUACUUUCGGAGCAGCCCUUGUAGCUGUGCUUUCAGAAGACAUGCAGAAUUUCGAUACGUCUCCUAUCUGACCGCACACAGAAGGCCUGAAGGCAAUUCCUAUUAAUCUGUAGCAUUUUUAGCCUAUUUUAAGUGUUCUGGAAGCUUUUAAUGGUCUCUGGGAGCUAUUUUAAAAGGCUCUAAAUAAUUAUAUUCCAUGCCAUUUGCCUUGACAUUGAUGAGUUUUUAUGUACUUUGCUAAACACAAGAGAGGAAUAAGAUGAUGCCUGAUUGGAAAUAACUGUCCUGAUUUUGUUUCUUGUUUAAGACAACAGGUAUUUACUCCACAUUAUCAUCUCCUAAGCACCAGACACAAGGAAAUACAAUUCCAAGGUUAUUUGUGGGUGGGAGUGACACUGAGUCUUGAAAGGUACGCAUUGCAUUUCACUGCUGUGAAAUGGGGAUAUGUUACAGUAAGCCAGGUAAGCCUGUUCAAUGCAAUGAGCCCUACUGCACUGGGAACCUCAGAGCUUAAUGCAAGAUCUUUACAGUGGCUGUAACUACAUCCAGAUGAUGAGUAUGAUGAGAAAGUUGAGAUAAUUUAAAGGCGGUGAUUAAAUAUAUAACAGGGAUUUGUAAUGUAAACUUCAUGCAGUUACAUCCAUACUGCUCAAAACAAAACAAAACAAAACUACUGGCAAAGUAAAUUGAGCAGUAAAGGCUGAAAUUCCAUCCCCCAUUCUGCCUCAAUUGUACAAUGUAUUUGAACCAAUCUUAGAACAAGCUGCUGCUAAUGGUGUUCAUUCUGCUCAUCGCUUUGCAUUCUAGCUCUUUUUGUGCUUGUAGGCAACACAGUGAGUCAGAACAGGAAACUGAUGCAGCUGAAAAGCAAGCAGACCAAGAGAAAAGACUGGGCUUUAUCCAUAUCAGUUCUGGAUCCAGCUCUGCGUGCACUGGCACUGGCACAAGAAAUGCCAAGGGCAGCAGUGGCAGUGCACCAAGCCUCUGGAAACAGCCUGCUUUAACAUUCACUUAGAUGGAUGUUGAGAAUGGUGUUGUUCACUGUGAACUGCUAAAGCAGUAUACAAAUCAGCAGAGAUUUUCAGCAAUCUUCGAUAAUACCUCUCUCUACAAACUCGACCUGCUGUUUUACAAAAGGAUUACUAGGUAAAGGUAGGGAAAAUCUGUCUUUCAAAGCAGCUGUAACUCCCACCAGGAUGAUACUACAUGCUGUAACAUUUCAGUAUCUGUUUGUUAUGGCUGCUCUGCUGCCACAGGAGGUUUCUAUUAACUAUAUAUAGGGAUUUGUCUAGAUAGGAAUUUGAAUUUUUGAUAUUAGACUGUGCCAGGUAACCCAUUUUAACUGUUUGAGUUGCAGUGAGCAUCUACUUUGUAUGCUAAAUAUCAUUAAGGAAAAUAAACUUUAUAUCAAUUUAGAAGAAAAAUAUAUGCAAAGUCAAAAGUGCCUGAAAGCAUUUUUUUUCUUUGCCAUGUUUCAGAUUUUACAGGGGUAUUAUUUAAGCCCUAAAAGCAAGGACUUAUGGCAUAACACUGAUAGAGAAGCUUAAUUAAGCAAUGCCAGCAAUCUCUGUAGAGGCAAAGAAAUAACUCAAGGUUGAUACAGUGAAAAAAGUUACAAAAAGGUGGAUGUGAACCAAAGAGGUUUUGGGUUCUUGGUAGGAGUGCAUCCAGCGGGAUAGGGAUCUAUCAGUGGCAGUCAUCAGAUCAGAGCGGCUGAUUGAGCCUGAGUUUCAUCUCACCUGAGCUUGGACACAUACAGAGUAGCUUUUCCUACUGAGUGAGUUACCCUGGGCUGCUGCUACUGCAACCAGUGGAGAAACGGUCAUUUGUAGGCCACCAUUCAUAUGACCUCUUUUAGACAAGUGCUCAGUAUACGUGAUGUGUGUGCUGGGCUCCCAUCGCUGCACUGACUAGAUCUCUACAUCUCCAGUUAGUCAUGUUCAUUCUGCUUGGAGUAUCUGUCUCUAAGGGAAGGUGGGCGGAGGGAGCCAAGAAACUAUAAACUAGUCAGUAGAACUUUGAUUCCAAAAUGGAUAGGAGAAAAAACACCGAUUUUAAGUUAUGAGAGGAAGGAAAGAUGACCGGUUACAGCCAACAUGUAUGAACAACACCAAGUCAAUCUCAGUCACUGUAAUAACGAGUUAGAAGCCUUGCAGUAGGCAGAUGCAGUGUGAGUUAAUGAAACUAUUUACACUAUCUCGCAUGACACUCUUCUAGGCAAACCAGAGUCCAGAUGAAACUGCUGCUAAAGGUCAGAGCUGUGCUCACAUGGAAGGCAGUAAUGUUUCUUUAUCUAACUGGGAGGGUUUAACAGAGGAUCCCAUGGAAGGCUGUGUUCUCUCUAAUAUCGUUCAAUGCUUUCACUGGUCACUCAGUGCAGGAAUAAUGAAUAACCACAUUUUCAGGUGAUCUAGUACUAAAAGAAGCUGUACGUUUAUGGAUAGCCUUACAACUUAGAUAAUCCAGAGAAUUCCUGAAAUGCUUUGAAAAGUAGGAUGCAUGUUGGUAUGGGUUAUACAGAGCUAUACAUAAGUGAGAAUAACCAAAAAUGAGAAAAGACGGGCUUUCACCAGACAUGCAGAGAAAUGACCAAAGAAUAAAACUAAAUGUCAGACAACAGUAUCAAAUUCACGGGGAAAAAAAGUCACACUGUCUACUAUGUGGGUAAGGCAUGGAAGUCUGUUCUGCACAUUUGUUGAUUAGACACCAGCUAGAGUAUUGGAUUCAGCUUUGGGCAUUGAACUCAAGAAUAAACGUAGAGAAUCCAAAGAAAAGCAGCAACAGUGAUAUAGGAGUUGAGAAAUAAUGACGUGUAAAGAAAGACUUGAAGACCUCCUCAAAAGAAGAGGACCAAAGGGAAAAACAAUCACAGGUUCCAAAAUGCAAUACGUCCUUGCAAGAAGGAAAGUGAUAAACUAUCUUCUGGAUCCACUGGUUAUAGAAUAAGAAACUUUCUACUGAGCAUUUAGCAAGGAAGUCUUUGCUUGGAUUUUGGGAGAACUUUCUGAAUAUGACAGUGAAGCACCAUUAUUUGAUUGUGAUGGGAGUGGGCUUAAGCAUUGCCACAAACACAUUUGUUCUUCCAUAAGAAAUAGGUGUUUUCAGUUAAAUUCAAGGCUGCCCAUCUCCAAGUUCUGCCUGACCUUUCUCUAUCAUUUUGUUCUGAUCACUGAAGGCAGUAACACUGCUGAGACUGAUCUAUGCCGGGGUGCCACCUGUUCAGCUCGUGGUUCAGCAGUAAAACAGAAUGCCCUUCGAAGUACUUCAAAAGGAAAAAAAAAAUGACUUACCUUAUAAAACCUAAUGGAUUGAAGAGCAACAAGAAGGAAUUCCCAUCUAAAUGCAAAUCAAGACAAACCCAUUUCGAAUGCAAGAGUAAACUACAAAUGGUAAUUUUCCCACCGUUGCUAGUGCUGCUUACAAUUACAGUUCUGUACAACUCAAGUAGUCAAACAGCUCUUCUCCUGAUGAGCUGUCAAUGAACAAUUUAGAUGUUUUCUAAAGGUAUGUCAUAGAUAUGCUUAUUCUGUAGCAGUCUGUUUGUGUGAAGUUAAUUUUUAAAACUUACUGCUUAUUCUUGGUUUAAUUUAGUCUGGUUUAUGAAGUGGAAAGAGACAAAAAAUAUCAGAAUAAAAAGGGUUUCAUUUGCUGAUUGCUGUAAGUUAAGCUCCCACUUGUUUUCUGCUAGAGUGUGAUAACUGAUACCAGUGAUCUGCAAUACUGAAAAGGCUGGGAUCAGCAGGGCUGGGGUUAGGAUCCCGCCCUGGAUCUGCCAACUGCAUUGUGGAAAGCAUGACUGUAGGAUGGCUGUCUGAGUACCCAUUGUGUGAUGAGAGAACAGAGUCAGGCCCAGUGCAGAGUUCUGGACCUGGUUCUGAUGCAGAGUCCUCCUUACCUCAGACCUUGGAGUAAACAGAGCAGCUGUGCAGGUAGUGUAGUUUCUACCAUUUAUUCUAAGGAAUCUCUGUUCCAGCACCAAACAAACUAGUAAAGAGGGGGAUGUCUCAUACAAAAUGCUGGAUUCAAGUUUUUUCUUCCUGUACCUGGAAGAAAUGCAAUAACAUUUGCUCUAGUCUCAGAAGGCUUUUGAGAUGUUAGAUGCUGUAGUCAUUCCAGUGUAGUAUGUAUAAAUGAAGAUAGUGACAACGCAGAGAUUACAACGUUUAGAACACGGUAACCAAAUCCCAACAACGCCUGGCACUAAAAAUGCACCCAGCAUUGUUAUUUUAUCCUCCCCAACUGAAUCCUGCCUUGUGGCAGCUCAGUACUCUGUCCCUAAUCUACAGGGCUCUAAAUGAAUUGAGAGGCAGCUAUCCUGCAGCACGUUUCAAAGUGAUGGGGCAAGUUGUGUCUGUUCUCUGUGUCUUUCUGUUAUUGUAUAGUGACAUGAAGGAUGACUCCAGUGGUUUCUUUUUACAACAGCUCUAACAGACUUUGCCACUCAAGCCAGAAAGGUUUUUUCCUUCAUCCCAAUGCCAUCAGAAUAGGAAUCCAUCAGUAGUCCUAAAAAGGAGUCUGUUGGCAUGGAAUACAGAUUAACUAUGCAUUGCUUUUACAUUUAACUAGCCUUCCACCAAACUGAAUCUGUAUCCUCACAUAUAACAGAAGCUAUAACAUUAAUUACUUCACAGAGUUAAUUAUUACUGAUCAGCAGUCCCUGUUGGGGAUCUUUAGUAGGUUGAACGAGUAACAUAAUUGGAGCAACAAUAAAAUUUAGCCUUAAAAAAAGAAAGGAGUACAGAAGCACAUUCAGCACUAGGAAAGAUGUUGAAAUAAACACUGUGCAUUUAUAGCAAAUCUUCACUGUGAUUACAGUGCAGAGUGUUGAAAUCCCAUUACCCCGAAGGCAUACAAACUGAAUGUGGAAAGUGAUUUCGCAUAUUUAGUGGAAAGCCCUACCUAAAUAUUUCUGUAUGGGAUGAUCCCAGUGAGUUCUGUUACCAACUGGGUUGAGAAACAGGACGGGUUUACAAAACCUCUUUUGAUCUAACAUCAGAAACGAAGAACCUGUCUCAUGUGAGAACACUGCCCUACGACACUGCUGCUUUGUUUGAGAAGAAAAUUUGUGUACCAGUGACACAAGAGUUAAGUGAUUCUAACAAUGUAAGCUUCAAAGGAAGUAAACAAGCAA